AUACUUACCUGGUACAGGGAAUACCGUGAUCAUCCAGGCGGUUUCCCC
rnacentral:snRNA from 1 species